rnacentral:rRNA from 1 species
GACGAACUGUCCUAACGUUGUUCGGAAUCACUGGGCUUAAAGGGCGCGUAGGCGGUCCGACAAGUCAGGGGUGAAAUCCUGCAGCUUAACUGCAGAGGUGCCUUUGAUACUGUCGGACGUAGAGUCCGGAAGAGGCGAGUGGAAUUCCCGGUCGUAGCGGUGAAAUGCGCAGAUAUCAGGAGGAACACCGAUGGCGAAGGCAGGUCUCUGGGCCACUACUGACGCUGAGAAGCGAAAGCAUGGGGGAGCGAACAGG